rnacentral:rRNA from 1 species
CCUACGGGAGGCAGCAGUGGGGAAUAUUGGACAAUGGGCGAAAGCCUGAUCCAGCAAUGCCGCGUGAGUGAUGAAGGCCUUCGGGUCGUAAAGCUCUUUUACCAGGGAUGAUAAUGACAGUACCUGGAGAAUAAGCUCCGGCUAACUCCGUGCCAGCAGCCGCGGUAAUACGGAGGGAGCUAGCGUUGUUCGGAAUUACUGGGCGUAAAGAGUACGUAGGCGGUUAUUCAAGUCAGAGGUGAAAGCCCGGGGCUCAGCCCCGGAACUGCCUUUGAAACUAGAUAACUAGAGUCUUGGAGAGGUUAGUGGAAUUCCGAGUGUAGAGGUGAAAUUCGUAGAUAUUCGGAAGAACACCAGUGGCGAAGGCGACUAACUGGACAAGUACUGACGCUGAGGUACGAAAGCGUGGGGAGCAAACAGGAUUAGAUACCCUGGUAGUCCACGCCGUAAACGAUGAUAACUAGUUGUUCGGUCACUUGGUGACUGAGUGACGCAGCUAACGCAUUAAGUUAUCCGCCUGGGGAGUACGGUCGCAAGNUUAAAACUCAAAUGAAUUGACGG